rnacentral:rRNA from 1 species
CCUACGGGAGGCAGCAGUGGGGAAUCUUGCGCAAUGGGCGAAAGCCUGACGCAGCAACGCCGCGUGCGGGAAGAAGGCCCUAGGGUUGUAAACCGCUUUCAGUAGGAACGAAAAUGACGGUACCUGCAGAAGAAGGUGCGGCCAACUACGUGCCAGCAGCCGCGGUGACACGUAGGCACCAAGCGUUGUCCGGAUUUAUUGGGCGUAAAGAGCUCGUAGGCGGUUCAGUAAGUCGGGUGUGAAAACUCUGGGCUUAACCCAGAGCCGCCACUCGAUACUGCUGUGACUUGAGUUCGGUAGGGGAGCAGGGAAUUCCUGGUGUAGCGGUGAAAUGCGCAGAUAUUAGGAGGAACACCGGUGGCGAAGGCGCUGCUCUGGGCCGAUACUGACGCUGAGGAGCGAAAGCGUGGGUAGCAAACAGGAUUAGAUACCCUGGUAGUCCACGCCGUAAACGUUGGGCACUAGGUGUGGGUUCCAACCAACGGAAUCCGCGCCGUCGCUAACGCAUUAAGUGCCCGCCUGGGGAGUACGGCGGCAACGCUAAAACUCAAAGGAAUUGACGG